AAAGAUUAAGCCAUGCAUGUCUCAGUAUGAACUAUCUAUUGUGAAACCGCGAAUGGCUCAUUACAACAGCCAUAGUUUACUGGAUAUAUUCCAUUACAUGGAUAACUGUGGUAAUUCUACAGCUAAUACGCGCAUCAAAACCCUGACUUCGGAAAGGGUGCGUUAGUUACUUCAAACUGACUAGACUUCGGUCUGGCUCCAAGUGAAAUUGAACUAUUUAGCUGAUCGCACGGUCUAAGCACCGGCGACAUAUCCUUCAAAUGUCUGCCUUAUCAACUGUCGAUGGUAGAUUAUGCGCCUACCAUGGUUGUAACGGGUAACGGAGAAUCAGGGUUUGAUUCCGGAGAGGGAGCCUGAGAAAUGGCUACCACAUCCAAGGAAGGCAGCAGGCACGCAAAUUACCCACUCCCGGCACGGGGAGGUAGUGACGAAAAAUAACAAGCUGGUCUCUUUGAGUUCCGGCAUUGUAAUGGGAACAACUUAAAUCAUUUAUCGAGGAUCUGUUGGAGGGCAAGUCUGGUGCCAGCAGCCGCGGUAAUUCCAGCUCCAAUAGCGUAUAUUAAAGUUGUUGCGGUUAAAAAGCUCGUAGUUGGAUCUACGAUCAAGGCUUGUGGUCGUCCUUCUCGGAUGUACUGCUUAGUCUGGUCGAAUUAUCUGGUGAACGAUUGAUGCUCUUCACUGAGUGUCUCUAGUUGCUGGAACGUUUACCUUGAAAAAAUUGAAGUGCUCAAAGCAGGCUUACGCCUGAACAUUGUUGCAUGGGAUAAUCGAAUAGGACUUCGGUUCUAUUUUGUUGGUUUCGGAACGCGAAGUAAUGAUUAAUAGGGACAGACGGGGGCAUUCGUAUUGCUGCGUUAGAGGUGAAAUUCUUGGAUCGUAGCAAGACGACCUACUGCGAAAGCAUUUGCCAAGAAUGUUUUCAUUAAUCAAGAACGAAAGUUAGAGGUUCGAAGGCGAUCAGAUACCGCCCUAGUUCUAACCGUAAACGAUGCCAACUAGAGAUCUAAUGGUGUUUUUCUUUGACCCAUUAGGGAUCUUUCCGGAAACGAAAGUUUUCCGGUUCCGGGGGAAGUAUGGUUGCAAAGCUGAAACUUAAAGGAAUUGACGGAAGGGCACCACCAGGAGUGGAGCCUGCGGCUUAAUUUGACUCAACGCGGGGAAACUCACUUGGUCAGGACACUGUAAGGAUUGACAGAUUGAAAGCUCUUUCUUGAUUCGGUGGAUGGUGGUGCAUGGCCGUUCUUAGUUGGUGGAGUGAUUUGUCUGGUUAAUUCCGAUAACGAGCGAGA
rnacentral:rRNA from 1 species